rnacentral:lncRNA from 1 species
CGCCGCUUCCGGGCGGUUUUCGAUCAUCCCCCGGAGGGCAGGGCGGCGGGUGAGCUACUAUUCCGUUUGAGACAGGAGACGAGGACCGCUCAGGAUUUCGCGUUGGAUUUCGCUCCACAGCCCAUGGAGAUAGGGGGGCUGCAUCGAGGAGGACCAGAGGGGGGGGUCUCUCCUGCACCCGAUGUGGGCGCAGAGGACACACUGUGGACCGAUGCUGGAGAGGUCCCUCCGGGAGUUUGGAGGGCAGGCAGAGCACUACUUCGACCCCCCAGACGAUCGUUACAGAACUACCCACCACAACUGGAUCAAGCAGCGUGCUUGGGAGGAGAUGGACACCUGGUCUCAUGAGGAGUGGAUUGGGAGGAGAGACUGGACUUGGGGCCAGGUGAUCGACAGAUAUCGGAGCCUACCCGGGAAGAACGAGAGGCAGCCCCCCCCAAAAAAUUGGGGGGGCACACGGGUAGUUUAGCUGGACCAAGGGUGAGGCCUGAGUCAACUACCUGUGCUUUUUGUGGUAAGCAUGUGCCUGCCUCUCGCACUCUCUCUCCAGUGCGCCUGCCCAGCCCAGUACGUCCUGUUCCUGCUCCUCGCACUAGCCUUGUAGUGUGCACUCCCCGUCCUGAGCCUCCGGCGACAGUUCCCCGUCCAGGGCUUCCGGCGACAGUUCCCCGUCCAGAGCUUCCGGCGACAGUUCCCCGUCCAGAGCUUCUGGCGACAGUUCCCCGUCCAGAGCUUCCGGCGACGUUUUACAGUCCGGAGCCUGCAGAGACGGC